UUGAACGCUGGCGGAAUGCUUUACACAUGCAAGUCGAGCGGCAGCGCGGGGCAACCUGGCGGCGAGCGGCGAACGGGUGAGUAACAUAUCGGAACGUACCCUAUCGUGGGGGAUAACACAUCGAAAGAUGUGCUAAUACCGCAUACGACCUGAGGGUGAAAGCGGGGGAUCGCAAGACCUCGCGCGACAGGAGCGGCCGAUAUCGGAUUAGCUAGUUGGUGAGGUAAAGGCUCACCAAGGCGACGAUCCGUAGCUGGUCUGAGAGGACGACCAGCCACACUGGAACUGAGACACGGUCCAGACUCCUACGGGAGGCAGCAGUGGGGAAUUUUGGACAAUGGGGGCAACCCUGAUCCAGCCAUGCCGCGUGAGUGAAGAAGGCCUUCGGGUUGUAAAGCUCUUUCAGACGGAAAGAAAACGCAUCGGUGAAUACCCGGUGUGGAUGACGGUACCGUAAGAAGAAGCACCGGCUAACUACGU
rnacentral:rRNA from 1 species